UGCGUACGAGAUGCUACGGCAUCGAAGCAGUCUAUGUCAUACUUCCAAGAAAAGCUUGCAAUGUCAUAAACAAAUAAUGCCUGUACCAUAACCGACACAGGUGGGUAGGUAGAGUAUACUAAGGGGCGCGAGAUAACUCUCUCUAAGGAACUCGGCAAAAUGACUCCGUAACUUCGGGAGAAGGAGUGCCUUAUUUUUAUAAGGUUGCAAUAACAAGAUCCAAGCAACUGUUUACCAAAAACACAGGUCUCCGCUAAGUCGUAAGACGAUGUAUGGGGGCUGACGCCUGCCCAGUGCCAGAAGGUUAAAGAAGUUGGUUAGCAUUAGCGAAGCUGAUAACUGAAGCCCUGGUGAACGGCGGCCGUAACAAUAACGGUCCUAAGGUAGCGAAAUUCCUUGUCGGGUAAGUUCCGACCCGCACGAAAGGCGUAAUGAUUUGGAUACUGUCUCGGAGAGGGGCUCGGUGAAAUAGACUUGUCUGUGAAGAUGCGGACUACCUGCACCUGGACAGAAAGACCCUAUGAAGCUUUACUGUAACUUGAGAUUGAAAUUGGACUUUAUCUGCGCAGUAUAGGUGGGAGACGUUGAAAAUAUUCUUGCGGGAAUAUUGGAGUCAUCAGUGAGAUACCACUCUUAUAAUGUUAGAUUUCUAACUUUGUAUCAUUAUCUGGUCAAAGAACAGUUUCAGGCGGGCAGUUUGACUGGGGCGGUCGCCUCCCAAACGGUAACGGAGGCGCACAAAGGUUUCCUCUGAACGUGUAGAAAUCGUAUCUAGAGUGUAAAGGCAUAAGGAAGCUUGACUGUGAGACCUACAAGGCGAGCAGGGACGAAAGUCGGUCUUAGUGAUCUGACGGUGCUGAGUGGAAAGGCCGUCACUCAACGGAUAAAAGUUACUCUAGGAUAACAGGCUGAUCUCCCCCAAGAGUUCACAUCGACGGGGAGGUUUGGCACCUCGAUGUCGGCUCAUCGCAUCCUGGGGCGGUAGUACGUCCCAAGGGUUGGGCUGUUCGCCCAUGAAAGCGGUACGCGAGCUGGGUUCAGAACGUCGUGAGACAGUUCGGUCCAUAUCCGGUGUAGGCGUUAGAAUAUUGAGAGGAGCCUUCUUUAGUACGAGAGGACCGAGAAGGACAUACCUCUGGUGUACCAGUUAUCGUGCCAACGGUAAACGCUGGGUAGCCAUGUAUGGAGAGGAUAACCGCUGAAAGCAUCUAAGUGGGAAGCCCACCUCAAGAUAAGUAUUCUCAU
rnacentral:rRNA from 1 species